rnacentral:misc_RNA from 1 species
GGGACAUUUAUCAUCAAAAGCAACCCAUUCUUGACUGGCCUUAUCAAACCAAAGAACUAAGUCUCGACCCAGAAGCUGAAACGGGGUUGGCAAGCUGGGGUCCAAAUCCUCAACCAAAGAAACCGGGUACCANNNNNNNGAGAACUUGGAAUCAGAACUCUUCUCUCCAGUCUCAUCAUCAACUCUAAAGUCUCCUUCUU